UAUUUAUCUCCUACCAUUACCUCGAUCCUGUGCUUAAAUAAUGUUACACUUUUAUAGAAUGACCAGUCUAUCUUCUUGGCUUUUAUUUUGACAUGUUUUCUUUCACUUCCGGGUCAUGUGACUGCCGUUCAUCACUCUUCUCUUCGAUUAAAACAAAUUAUGACAAAAAGAAACUUGCAAAAAACAAACUGGAUCGUUUUUUUUAAUUAUUUAUUUUUUUCGUUUUUCGGUUGGAAACAAAAAAACAAACGAAAACGGAAAAAAAACAAUAGUAUUUCUGUUUUUUUUGUGUUUUAAUUACAAAUGACGGAUUAUCAGAUUAUACCCAGCAGACCCUGAAGACACAGUGUGCAGGUUUUUCUCUACAGUGUAGCAGGAGUUGUGUGGUGUGUCUGCGCCUCCAGUGGAUCUACAGCUGAUAAAUCUGUCCAAUCUGCACUUUACUGCUAAACAACAGACAACCAACGACACCAGUCAAGAGGUCAAGAGACAAACAAUCCCAUCAUCGCUGUCAUCAUCAUCAUCAUCAUCAUGAGCAGCAGCAGGUUACCGUGGCAACGGCUGAUUUCAGAGAAGUCAUGAUUUGGAGGAUCUGCAUGAAUGGACUGUCCCACACAACGGCAUCAGUAUGUGACAUCCCCUCUUUUCACGCCGUGUAUUUCCUGAGGGAUUCAUUCAUCAGUGGAAGUGCAGCUCCACAAAUGAGUUUUAUGAGUCAUCGCUUCUUGUUUCUGAUAAAUCGAUCGGUUCAAUUGAACACAUUUUUCCAGUUAUUGAUCUGUGUGUUCAACAAAGGUUAUGUGACGUGAACUGUUGUUUCUGGCUGGAUAGUUUGACGAUCACGCUGAGAAGGCUGCGGGUUGCUCAUAUGAUCUGUAGGAAAGAAGAUCAGAUAUUCACUUUCCCAUGAAAUGUGUCCCGGCAGUAAAGGCGACUGAUGAUAAAUAACGCCCUGAGAGUUUUUUUUUUUUAUAAUGAUCCAAGAUGUGAUGAUAGAGAUGCCACCGGGGCGUUUUUUUUUGAAGAAGAAGAAGGAAACAGGAGCAUAGAGGAGUCUUUGUUUGUGUUUGUUAAUGCUCCACUCUUCAACUUCUAUGUGUUUCUGUGUUUGCGUGUCCUGUGACUGUGCUCGUGUCUGAGGUGUUGAAUAAUGACAGAAAUAGCAGAUACUUGCUCAUGCCAGCAGCACCAAUCACAGGGGAGGGAAAUACAAUGGUUUCCAUGGCAACACUAACCCCCUUUCACCCCCCCAUCCCACACGUGCACCACCUCCAACUGCAGAUAAGAAAAGUGCACUAAAUACACACUCUCGUACACGCUGCAUGCAUCACCAGGACGGGGUGUUCAACGUGUUUUCUGAUUAUUCUCAGCUUCCCUUUUCCCCCCAUUCAACUGAACACAGGUGGGCUGAUUCAUGCUCAAUUACAGCUGCUGAUCUAAUAUUGUUUUCCAUUGUGAUCUCAGAUGUCAUCAGUAGGGGGAGCUCUCACAUUUAACAAGCAACUGCAACACCUGAAAUCACCAGAAAAUAUCCUUCUUAUCCGCAUACUUGCCAACCUUGAGACCUCAGAAAUAGGGAGGAUUUCUAAAGUGUGUGUGUGUGU